AGUAAGUUAAUAGUAAUAGUAAAUGUAAUAUAAGAAAUACUCUAUCAAAGAUUCAGGCUUAUUUAUCUAAAAAUAAAUUCAGAAGCAUUGCUUAGAAAAAUCAGGUGGUUUAUGGUGUAGUCUCCAUAAUGAGUCCAACAAAUGGUGCUAUUUAUUAGAACAUACUGUUAUUCAAUGUUAUUCAGCACCUCUGUGGCCCACUGAGAUCUACUACAUGGCUUACAGUAAAACUCAUGAUCGAAACUUUGUGCUUUGCUUCUUAUUCUCCAACUCUUCAUAUCUAAUGGCAGUAAAUUAUAUUUAAAAAUUGUUUUUAUAAUGAAUUUAGUAUCUGUAUAGCCAUAUAUUUUUCAAAAUAUAAUGGUAGACUCAUCUUUUGUUUUUAUUUCUUGGAAUCUAUAAUGAGGCAUCAACAAACAUACCUGACAAGAAAUACAGGUUUGCGCAAAACAAAUUCCAUCACAAGAAUGAAUAAAAUUCUCAUUAGAAAAGUUAAAGGAUCCCUAGGCCUGCUGACUGAAACACACUAACAAAGACAAACGUAAACAAAGAACGGGCAGUGAGAAAUUUGGCGAUUUAGUCACCAAAUACAGAAAAAAAUAAGAUAAACAUGGGCAACUGUUUUCAGCAGUCGUCUGUGGUAGGUUACAUCAUUGUGGAGCAGAUAUUCACUCCCUUUCCUUCCUACAUGGGGGGAGUGUUCUUUCCCAUCCCUUCUUUUGUCCUGGACAUUUUCCAUGAGAAGAGCAUGUCUUUGGCAGCCAUCCCCUUGUCAGAUUGAGUUCUGAUUGGGAAGACUGGUGGAAUCGAGCUGAAUCCAGUCUGCAACCUGGAGGAAAAUCAUUAGGGUCAUCUGCAGGACUGCCUGACAUCUACCUACCUGCAAUUGGCUUCUUCUUCAAGUCUCCACGGUCUUGUCCAGAACCACAUUAUGACAUCCUCAUUUGAAAAAGGGUUUGGGUGUAGAAUAGAAUCCAUGAUCAAUCAUGCUCUAUUCUAAAUUGCUAUAUAUUCAAAAUAAUGUUAUAUCUAAAUGUGGAUUUAUUUGAUUAUUUUAUUCUCAUAGGUCCAUUAUCUCAGAUUUGGCUACAAUAUUUUGAGAAUGAGAAAGAGACUUUCAGAUCAGGAAUAUCCAGAAAAAUAAAUGAGUUUAUGAGAAUCAUUUUUCAGUGGUCUCUGCGAAAUUAAGAGUCUGCCUACAAUUAUUUAAGAGAGAAAAUAAAGUGCGUUAAAUAAAUUAGUGAACACACAAUUUAUGUCAAAUUCUUCCAAAGCUCUCAAAAGUUUAGAUCUUUACACAAUUUUGAACAUUGGCUAUAAACAAUAUCAUUCAGGACUGGUUAAAUCUAUGUAAGACUAAGGUAGGAUCUGUUAUCAACAAAUAUAUUGUAUAUCAGCUCUAAUUUAGUGAAUUUUGUUCAAGGAUGAAAUUAAAUACAAUGAUUAAAUAAUUAAAAUAAAGAUAAUAAGCAAUCUGUUAUGGGUUAUUCAAUAUAUAUGUUAUUAAUGUGAAGACUGACUUUUGUUUUAUAAUUUUUAUAGAAAAUUUGUUUUAAAGGAGAUUAUAUAAACAUAGUAGAUGAUGUUUUAUGAGAGACAUGGUGUUAUGUUUUGUGGUCAUGUCAUUGAACUAUAAUUGAAUACAUUACAUUUUUUAAAAUUUUUCAUUUUUGAGGGUAUAUAAUAUACAUAAGUUGUGGGGCAUGUAAAUUAUUUUGAUUCAGGCAUACAAUGCAUAACAAUCAUAGCAAGGUAAAUGGGUUAUCUAUCACCUCAAAUAUUUAUCCUUUUAAAGUGUUCCAAACAAUACAAUUAUACAUUUUAGUUACUUUGAAAUGCACAAUAAAUUAUUGUUGACUAUAAUCACAUGUGGUGUUAUCAAAUACUUAUUAAUUCUAGCUAUGUAUUUGUACCCAUUACCCAUUCCUAUUAUCCCUGACCCUUCCCAGCCUCUGCUAACCGUCAACAAAGUAAAGCUAUACCCCCCAAAAUGGGAGAAAAUUUUCGCAAAAUAUCAUCUGUUGAGGGAUUAAUAAGAAUAUUUAAGGAUCUCAGAGAACUCUAUAGGAAAAAAAACCAAUAAUCCAGAUAAUUCUGAAAAUAAGUCAUACAAAUGCCAAAUAGGUAUACAAAAAGGUACUCAACAUCAUUGAUAGUUAGAAAAUGCACAUCAAAACCGC
rnacentral:lncRNA from 1 species